CUCCAAAGGAACAAUAUUGUUCUGAGGAGCCAGCUGUCGUCACGAAAAUAAUGAUCACUUCUCUUACUUUUUUAGGCUGAGGUAUUAGAAAACGAGAGUGCUUCCUCUAUGCUAAGAAGAAGAAAGGAGCCUCAGAUCCUGGAGACAGAAUUACGCUCUCUGGCAGAAAUGCCAACUUCAUUCAUAACCUAGGAAACUGCACCACUUCCCAGGACCUACCAGCAGCAACCCACUCCCUGCAUUAAUAGAAUUAUGGAUGGCCAAAUACAGUAUUCCACUUGGGGGGUGAGUACUGGGAGAAGCUUGGGGAGGUGCCCGUGUUCCUGGCCACAGGCUGCAACUAACAGCCUCUGUACGCCACUGCCUAACUGGGACAACAAAUCCCUAGAGAUGAAGAAGAAGCAGUGUCUGGUGCACCCAGCAUAAACUCUGUGUGGACAUCCAUUCUCCAUGUUUCCCUCUCCAGCAGCCCCUCGAUUUCUGUUUGGGGAUUCGCACCAUACCUGAAAGGCUAAUUCCAUCUGAGUGGCAAGAAAGGAACACGUGGCAGCAAGGAGGAAACAGUGUUCUGGGCUAAACCAUCAGCACGUUCUGCCCCCCUUGGCCACAGUGACUGUGAGCUAAGCACAAUUGUUCAGUGUGAGUCUCAGGAUCUCUGCUUUGGAAUACAAGAUGAAGUUCCUCUGUCCCUCUUGGUGUAUUUGAAUAAGAGGCAAGAGUCAUUUAGGAACCACAGAAGGAGUCUGACUUAGGAUACAGCCAACAUAAAAAAAAAAUAGAGUUAUGAAGAGCUGGGUCCUACAUGACACCAUUGAGCAGAAGGACUCCCCACCUCCUCAGAACCCUGCUCUUUUCAGGGAUGCAAGUUAAUUAAAUUGAGCUCAACAAAUAUUGACAGAAUGCCUCGUCAUGUGCCAGACACGGUACUGGGCACUCACAAUACAUGAGUGCAUAAAACAGGUAAGAAUCCCAGUCCUCAGGGAGAAGGAGACAGACAACAGACGAUAAGCAGAACAAGUGAAAUGGUAGCCUGUUAGAGGAUGAAAAGCAUGGUGGGGAAAAGGAAAAGAAGAGCAGGUCAGGGAGAUGGGA